rnacentral:tRNA from 1 species
GCCCGGAUAGCUCAGUCGGUAGAGCGUUAGGCUUUUAACCUAAUGGUCCAGGGUUCGAGUCCCUGUUCGGGCG